GACGAACGCUGGCGGCGUGCUUAACACAUGCAAGUCGAACGGAAAGGCCCUGCUUGCAGGGUACUCGAGUGGCGAACGGGUGAGUAACACGUGGGUGAUCUGCCCUGCACUUCGGGAUAAGCCUGGGAAACUGGGUCUAAUACCGGAUAGGAGCCAUUUUUAGUGUGAUGGUUGGAAAGUUUUUUCGGUGUAGGAUGAGCUCGCGGCCUAUCAGCUUGUUGGUGGGGUAAUGGCCUACCAAGGCGGCGACGGGUAGCCGGCCUGAGAGGGUGGACGGCCACAUUGGGACUGAGAUACGGCCCAGACACCGACGGGAGGCAGCAGGGGGGAAGAUUGCACAAUGGGCGCAAGCCUGAUGCAGCGACGCCGCGUGGGGGAUGACGGCCUUCGGGUUGUAAACUCCUUUCGCUAGGGACGAAGCUUUUUGUGACGGUACCUAGAUAAGAAGCACCGGCUAACUACGUG
rnacentral:rRNA from 1 species